AAGUGUCAGUCAUCACGCUCGCUGUACAGUUCCUGAGGUGGCUCUCCAGGCCUGUGGCUUCCAGGAAGGGAUGUGCGGCCUUCACACAAGAUUCCCCUCAUGAAAUGUGAAUGGCUGUUGAUGGUGGGUGUGGGGACACUGGAGACUGGGAAGGUCGCUAGAACCAUGUAAAGAAGUUCCUUGAUCCAUCUGGACCCUUCGCACACCCUGAUUUUGAACCAAGCACUGAAUUUGCCUAUGUCACCCAGCAAGAUUACUGUAGUGUCCUCAACCAAGCAGAAAUGAAAAUGCAAAAAGUUGAAGAGGAAAGAGAGAUCCUUAUAGUCAAAGAACAUCAAGACCCUGAUGGAACUGGAAUAAGGAAGGGUCACAUUGUCAUCAAGGAACCUCAGAAUGGUUAACCAAGCACUUGGUGGAAGAGAAUUCAGUAGUAGAUCCAACCUUCAUAGAAGACUUCUUGUUGACCU
rnacentral:lncRNA from 1 species